CUAAAUUCAUGGCAACUACCACUGUCCCAACCGCGAUCCUAAGCUUUCGACGAUGUACUUCACCCCCCUGGUUUGAGCCUAAAAAAAUUGUUUUUGAGAAGAAAAUCUCACUGAAAAUCGUGAUAUUUUUCUUCCAAUUUGCUUGAUUUACAACGGAUACUGUAUUUUUACGCCGCUCGUAUGUGUGAGAAUUCUCCAAAGUCCAAACAAGAACGAGAAGAAUAUAUUUUUAUUCACCGGUAAGAUUUUAUACAGUUAUUUGAAUAUUUCUAGAUUCUAGCUUGCUGUGUGCCUGUGUCUGCUUGCUUUUAUAUUAAACUCGAUAGAAAAAAAAUUAAGAAAUGUACGAAGCACAAACCAUAGGGAAAUGGUUGGGAAUCCUGUAAAUUUUAUUGAUUUUAAUACCACUAGUCUCUGUGUUUUCAUAGCCAUAGGGUUUUAAAACCUGCUUAUAGUGUCAAAAUCCUCACUGUGCACUUACUGUAUAUUUAUUUUAUAGCACUACAGGCUUUUAUAGUAUUAUAGAGAUAUAAACAAAUUUUCCCUGACAAACUUUGAGUGAUAUAUAUAGCCUUGCCAGCGGUUCUUGUAGCAGUUAUAUAUAAUGACUGUGUAUACUGUAGUUAUAUUAUUUAUCACUUCUACAACAGGCAGGUGAAAAUUAAAUUGUUUUGCUGAAUAUGCUGGGCCAAUUAAAGGCCAUUAAAGAUAUCAAGUUCAAACCAUUCAAAUGAUUCAAUACCCAUUGCAAUCAAGCAAUGACCAUAAACCUAAGCCCCAAUGACAGACCCCAAAUAUAAGCCCUCCUGUGUAGAAAUGCACCACAAGGGUGCAUCGGGGUGCAAUGCAACUCAAUGGGUUAACUAUAGGCACAUGCGCAGAUAGGCCAGUUAACCCAUUAAGCGCCAGCGCUCUCCCCUUGACGAGUAAAAUCGUCUGGCAUUAGACAGAGUAAAAUAUCAAAGUAGGGUGCAUCAGGGUGCAAUGCAACUCAAUGGGUUAAAUCCCUCUGUGUGAGCCCAUAAACUUAUUUUUGGACAGGUAUUUUUUAAUGCAGCGAAGGGGAUUCCAACAGCUCAGCCCAUCAAAAAUGCUAUUGAAUGAAUAUAAGCAUUGGUUCCAGAAAAGAUCCACACUCCCCACUUUCUGCCGUCCGGAGGGGGAGGGGAGAAUAAAUUGUUUCUGAUAAUUGUAAAUGUAUUAGGACAUCCGAAGGAGGUAGGGGAGUUAACUUCCAAUUUCCUCUGUGGGGGUGGUAUGGAUGUUUUCUGGAAUAACCCAUUCAGAGGUUUACAUGGUAUUCAUCUGCCCAACAUAGUAUGUCAGAGUUAUAUAAAUUCCACAGCCAUUAGAGUUGUAGACUUGUAGUUAGGUAUUUGUAGGAAUGAAGGGUGUCUACGUGCCAGCCAAUGCAUAUUUGCUGCCAAUCAAAUUGCCGAUGAUUGAUAACAUGUACAUUUGAGAGCAUCUUCAGUGGUGGUAUCCCCAGUAUUGGAGUAGAGCCCAACUGUUCAGUUAGACAUUAUUUACGAACUUCCUCUCUUAUAUCUGCAUAGAUUAUUUUUGAUAUAUUGUAAUGUAAAAUGAAACUUUGGGAUAGUUAAGAAAUACAAUUAAUCCAUUUAUAAUGGACAAGAUUGUCCCCUUAACAAGUAAAAUUGCCUGGCAUAUUAGACGGACUUAUAAAUGACAUACCAUAUUAAUUUUUAAAACCAUUAGGUUGCAUUGUGCCCUAAUGCACCCUACUUUAUUAUUUUACUCUGUCUAACACCAGACAAUUUUACUUGUGAACUGGAGAGCCACUCAGUGCUCAAUGGGUUAACAUGUCAAUGUCUAACUGAACCGUCUGGGCUCUGCUCUACAGUAAAUUUCCUUGUAAUUGGAGUCUGGGAUCUGUGACCCAAUACAUCUUCAGUGUCUUCAUAUGGUACUGUCACUAUUUUAUAUGUAUAAUGGACAUUUUUCAUUUAGGGUGAAUCUGAUGUACAAGUCAUGUGGACAAGAAAUUAAUACAAGUUCUUUUGAAUGUUCAAAUAGCAAGGGUUAAGUGGUGCACUAGCUCUUGCCAGACUUAACUGCAUGCCAGAACUAACAAUUACUUUUCUCUAUAAUUUUGUGGGAAUGUGUUAUUUGUUUAUGUAAUAUGUUCUACAAACAGCCAAAGAAUAACCCAUGAGCUCUAGUUUUAAUUUUUUAAUAAUACUGUUAAGUAUUACAUGUAACGUGAUUGUACAGUUAGGUUUUAAUAUUAUUUAUUGCUAAUGGGUCAUUCCAGAAAACAUCCAUACCACCCCCACAGAGGAAAUUACGUACAUUUACUAUUAUCAGAAACAAUUUUUUCCCUCCUCCCCCUCCGGACGGCAUUAAUUUCCUCCGUGGGGGGAGUGUGGAUCUUUUCUGGAACGUCCCAACUGGAUAAUUAUUCUUUAACCAUGCAAGUUGAAUUAAAAUAAAUAAUAUACAAAAUCAAGCAAAUUUUUGUCUUUAAUUAAUUUUGAAACAAUUAAUACAUGUUUCUUGGAGGUUCACUAACAACAGUGGCAUGAACUCAUUGUGGGAACAUUCUGCAAUAAGCAAGAAUAGAUUAUAGCCAUAGGGGCUAUCAAUAUGGAAGCCAGGCUGGCCUGGUUGGCAGAACUAUUUAUUAUUUCCAGAUUAAUUUCCUUGCCGACACAAUUCAGUCUAUUGUUUUGACAAUAUUUCCAUGACCAAUGUUGUAUUGACUUUACUUUGACCAGGUCAGUCCAGUUAGUGUUUAUAUCCAUAAAAUAUCUUCCCAGUGUAACUGAGAGCUUGCCUUCUUCAGGUGAGAUCUGAAAACUGAGCCAGUCAGGUUGUCCAUACAAUUUGAAAGGAAUUUCCACUAUAAAAAUAAC